AGAGUUUGAUCUGGUCAGGAUGAACGCUAGCUACAGGCUUAACACAUGCAAGUCGAGGGGUAACAUUGGCGAGCUUGCUCUGCCAGAUGACGACCGGCGCACGGGUGAGUAACGCGUAUCCAACCUGCCCAUGGGUCAGGAUAACUCCGAAAGGGAGCCUAAUACCUGAUGUUGUGAGAAGAAGGCCUCUGAUUUUCACGAAAGACUUCGGUCGCCGAUGGAUGGGGAUGCGUACGAUUAGGCAGCAGGCGGGGUAACGGCCCACCUGGCCACGAUCGUUAGGGGUUCUGAGAGGAAGGUCCCCCACACUGGUACUGAGACACGGACCAGACUCC
rnacentral:rRNA from 1 species